AAAUGAAUAGACGGGGGCCCGCACAAGCAGCGGAGCAUGUGGUUUAAUUCGAAGCAACGCGAAGAACCUUACCAAGGCUUGACAUCCCGCUAAAGCCAUGGAAACAUGGUGUCCCUUCGGGGGAGCGGAGACAGGUGGUGCAUGGUUGUCGUCAGCUCGUGUCGUGAGAUGUUGGGUUAAGUCCCGCAACGAGCGCAACCCUUAUUCUCAGUUACCAGCGCGUAAAGGCGGGGACUCUGAGGAGACUGCCGGGGACAACUCGGAGGAAGGUGGGGACGACGUCAAAUCAUCAUGCCCCUUAUGUCUUGGGCUACACACGUGCUACAAUGGCCACAACAGAGGGCAGCGAAGCCGUAAGGCGGAGCAAAUCUCAAAAAAGUGGUCCCAGUUCGGAUUGUGGGCUGCAACCCGCCCACAUGAAGUCGGAGUUGCUAGUAAUCGCGAAUCAGCAUGUCGCGGUGAAUACGUUCCCGGGCCUUGUACACACCGCCCGU
rnacentral:rRNA from 1 species